AGUGUUAGUGUUGCCAUGGCAACCAUGACGUUUCAUCUUUUGCACUUUUAUAGUCUAAUUUUACAAUCAAACGGCAAUAUCUUUUUUUCCUUCCGUCAAUUUUUCUGAAUUUUUUUUUUAAGAUUUAUGGUUGAAAGGGGAAUGACAUAUUAAAAUUUGAAGGGAUGUUUAUAAGGCAGGUUUUGAGAUAUUCAUGAAUAACGACCACAAAAAAUCUGUCUUAUAGAAUUUCUUGAAAUUUUGAUAUGUUUGGCGAAUCGUCAUGCUUAGCAAACGUGCAAAGUUU